CGUGUAGGCGGACUCGCAAGUCGGUUGUGAAAUCCCUGGGCUCAACCUAGGAACUGCAUCCGAAACUGCUUGUCUUGAGUAAUGGAGAGGGUGGCGGAAUUCCCGGUGUAGAGGUGAAAUUCGUAGAUAUCGGGAGGAACAUCAGUGGCGAAGGCGGCCACCUGGACAUUUACUGACGCUGAGACGCGAAAGCGUGGGAGCAAACA
rnacentral:rRNA from 1 species